AGAGUUUGAUCCUGGCUCAGAUUGAACGCUGGCGGUAGGCUUAACACAUGCAAGUCGUGCGAGAAAGUAUCUUCGGAUAUGAGUAGAGCGGCGGACGGGUGAGUAACGCGUAGGAAUCUACCUAGUAGAAGGGGAUAGCCCGAGGAAACUCGGAUUAAUACCGUAUACCUCCUUCGGGAGAAAGAAGGCCUCUCUUUGAAGCUUUCGCUACUAGAUGAGCCUGCGUAAGAUUAGCUUGUUGGUGAGGUAAAGGCUCACCAAGGCUACGAUCUUUAGCGGGUCUGAGAGGACGAUCCGCCACAUUGGGACUGAGACACGGCCUAGACUCCUACGGGAGGCAGCAGUGGGGAAUAUUGGACAAUGGGCGAAAGCCUGAUCCAGCCAUACCGCGUGUGUGAAGAAGGCCCUAGGGUUGUAAAGCACUUUAAGUUGGGAAGAAAAGUCAUUGGUUAAUACCCAAUGACCGUGACAUUACCAUCAGAAUAAGGACCGGCUAAUUCCGUGCCAGCAGCCGCGGUAAUACGGAAGGUCCAAGCGUUAAUCGGAAUUACUGGGCGUAAAGCGCGCGUAGGUGGUUUAUUAAGUUGGGUGUGAAAUCCCCGGGCUCAACCUGGGAACUGCAUCCAAAACUGAUUCACUAGAGUACGAUAGAGGGAGGUAGAAUUCACAGUGUAGCGGUGGAAUGCGUAGAUAUUGUGAAGAAUACCAAUGGCGAAGGCAGCCUCCUGGAUCUGUACUGACACUGAG
rnacentral:rRNA from 1 species